rnacentral:lncRNA from 1 species
UUAAUUAGUUAUAAAUUCUUAAAGUUGAAGCUAUUGAAAUGUAUAACCAAUUGAUUAUGAUUCAGUCAAAAUUGAUCUUUUGUUAUUUCGAAUAUAUUCGCUCAAACUAUAUAUAUAUAUAUAUAUAUAUAUAUAUAGAGAGAGAGAGAGAGAGAGUCCGGCUACUAUACUCUUAUGAGUACGAUCGCAUUCGUACUCAUAAGUUGUUGUCGAUGAUAGAGCUUCCGAAUCGACGAUUUAGACCGUUAAAUAUUAUCUAGAGUAUUUAAAACUUCUAGAAAUCAAAUUUUAUAAUUUUUCGAUAUCAUUUACCAUAUGAUCAAUAGCUCACAAAAUUGACAAUUUUUAACGGCCGAUAUGUGAUACUUACUAAUUUAACGGUGUAAAAGAAUCAGAAUAGCUUGAAUUUUUGAUAGAAAAUUAUGUUCAUUAUCUAGAUAAAGAUCAAUAACCCUGAUCUUAAAUUGAAGGAUCCGAUCAUCCAUUUUUAGGACGUCGUUCAAUUUUGACCGUUCAUUUUAUAUCCGCUUAAUGGACUUUAUAAUGAUUUUGAAAAAUUACGAAAUUUAUUUUCUAAAAAUUUCAAAUACUCUAAAUCAUAUUUAACGGUGUGGAUCAUCGAUUCGGAAACCCCAACAUCAAAAUCAAUUUAUGAGUAUGAAGGACUCUAUACUCAUAAGAGUAUAGUAGCCAUACUCUCUCUCUCUCUCUCUCUCUCUAUAUAUAUAUAUAUAUAUAUAAACUUU